rnacentral:tRNA from 1 species
GGGGGUGUAGCUCAGUUGGGAGAGCACCUGCUUUGCAAGCAGGGGGUCAUCGGUUCAAGUCCGUUCACCUCCACCA